rnacentral:rRNA from 1 species
CUACGGGGCGCACCAGUGGGGAAUAUUGGACAAUGGGGGAAACCCUGAUCCAGCAAUGCCGCGUGUGUGAAGAAGGCCUGCGGGUUGUAAAGCACUUUCGGUUGGGAGGACUGCUUCUAGCACUAAUAUUGUUGGAAGUUGACGUUACCUUCAGAAGAAGCACCGGCUAACUCCGUGCCAGCAGCCGCGGUAAUACGGGAGGGUGCAAGCGUUAAUCGGAGUUACUGGGCGUAAAGCGCGCGUAGGCGGCUAGAUCAGUCGGGUGUGAAAGCCCCGGGCUUAACCUGGGAACUGCAUCCGAUACUGUCUAGCUUGAGUACAGGAGAGGAGAGUGGAAUUCCACAUGUAGCGGUGAAAUGCGUAGAUAUGUGGAGGAACACCAAUGGCGAAGGCAGCUCUCUGGCCUGAUACUGACGCUGAGGUGCGAAAGCGUGGGGAGCAAACAGGAUUAGAUACCCUAGUAGUC